AUUGAACGCUGGCGGCAGGCCUAACACAUGCAAGUCGAGCGGAUGAAGGGAGCUUGCUCCUGGAUUCAGCGGCGGACGGGUGAGUAAUGCCUAGGAAUCUGCCUGGUAGUGGGGGAUAACGUCCGGAAACGGGCGCUAAUACCGCAUACGUCCUGAGGGAGAAAGUGGGGGAUCUUCGGACCCCACGCUAUCAGAUGAGCCUAGGUCGGAUUAGCUAGUUGGUGGGGUAAAGGCCUACCAAGGCGACGAUCCGUAACUGGUCUGAGAGGAUGAUCAGUCACACUGGAACUGAGGCACGGUCCAGACUCCUACGGGAGGCAGCAGUGGGGAAUAUUGGACAAUGGGCGAAAGCCUGAUCCAGCCAUGCCGCGUGUGUGAAGAAGGUCUUCGGAUUGUAAAGCACUUUAAGUUGGGAGGAAGGGCAGUAAGUUAAUACCUUGCUGUUUUGACGUUACCAACAGAAUAAGCACCGGCUAACUUCGUG
rnacentral:rRNA from 1 species